UACGUAGGGUGCAAGCGUUGCCCGGAUUUAUUAGGCGUAAAGCGCGCGUAGGCGGCCCGGUAAGUCCGCUGUAAAAGUCCAGGGCUCAACCCUGGAAAGCCGGUGGAUACUGUCGGGCUAGAGUCCGGGAGAGGUGAGUGGAAUUCCCGGUGUAGCGGUGAAAUGCGUAGAUAUCGGGAAGGAACACCUGUGGCGAAAGCGGCUCACUGGACCAUAACUGACGCUGAUGCACGAAAGCUGGGGGAGCAAACAGGAUUAGAAACCCC
rnacentral:rRNA from 1 species